GUUAUGGUGACCGGUCAAACGCAGACUAGAGAUGUGGUUCCCUUUUCCAUAACCAGCACACCCAUCCAGCCCCCUUCACUGUGCCCAGCCUUCCAUUUUAGGGGUGUUUUUCAUCCCCAAAACCCCCUCCAAUGAUUCCACUGGAUUAUUUUGCAUCCAGGUCCUAGUGUGGGUGGGGUUGUAGGUGAUUCGCAGGAGCAAUUAGCUAAUUAACAUUUCAGUGUCAGUACUUAGCCCAAGCCAAGUGUCCCAGCCAGGCUGUUUUGUUCAUAACAAAUCCAUCCUCUAUUUCUUUGAUCGGGCUUAAGCCCGCAUCAACUUACAGUCUCUGGCUUUUGAGGGUUAGCUUCUUUGGGUAAUUCUCUUAAUUCUGUAUAUCAGCUUUUAGCAAGUCUUCUUUAAAGUUAAUUUAAAGUCUUUUGGUUCCUUAAUUACUGUCCAUGCACAGGAGGAGGUGGGUGACCCUGUUGGGUCUGGUCUGGUGUCUGGGGGUGGCACUGGUCCUUUUACUCUGGGGAUAUGGAUCCAGCCUUUUUCUUGGGUUUGCACCGCAGUGUGUGUGGUGAGUAAUACCUGGAAAGGUCCUUCGAAUUUGGGGGUUAGUGGAGUGGUGGUGUUCUAGGAUUUUAUUAACACCUAAUCCCCGGGACUGAUGUUGUGGGCAUUGGUAUUCAGAGGGGAGGUUUGGGGGAGAUACCUCUUCUUUCUGAGGCCUUCUGGGGAUUUUCUUAUGAUUUUAAAUAUUUUUAAGUUGCUGCCUCCCCUUUUAAAUAAUCUGCGUACUGAAAGGGGUGGUUAGAAUAUAAGGAGAAACCCUUAUGUCGGACCGAGGUCUUGUUCUGAUGCUCAAGAGAGCAAGAGGUAAACACUUGAGCCAAUUCAUUUUUGUCUCUUCAAUUAAUUUGGUUAUUAUAUUUUUAAGAGUUCUAUUUAUUCUUGCUACCCUUCCCGAGCUUUGAGGAUGCCAUGGGGUGUGCAAUCUCUACCCUGUCCCCAGGGCUUUUGUUACUUUAUGCAAAGUUCGAGCAACAAAAUGUGGACCUCAGUUGAGUCAAUGUUAUUGACGAGCCCGUAUUGAGGUAUGAUAUUUUCUAAGAUUAUUCUUGGAACUUUUUGUGCGGUUUCCUUUUUGGUUGGGAAAGCCUCCACCUAGUGAGUGAGACAUCUACGAUCACUAGUAAAUGUUUGUACCUCUGCACAGAGGGCAUUUCAGUGAAAUCUACUUGUAUAUUCUGGAAGGUCUUAAAGCAAGUUUUCCUCCCUCAUGUACUGUUUUUCUCAUUACCUUUUGGUCAGUUUUCAGGCAAAUCACACGCCUUCUUGUGAUUGCUUUUGCCAGGUCAUACACUCUCAUACAUAAAUUUUCCCGUAAAAAGUGGUCACACAAACCUUGGAUUCCCCAGUGGGUCAAUUCAUGACUUGAACUACUAUCUUUUUAUCUCGUGGGAUGAUCCUUACCCUUAAUUGGGCUUGCAAGUCUCUUCCUAAGAGAUUACUUCUUAAAUUUGGCAGAUAGAUAAAGUCUGCCAAAAAUUGUCUAGAAUUCCCCUUGAUUUUUAUAUUUUUGGCUAUAGAUGUUUUAAAUGGCCUUCCCUUCACUCCUAAAACCUCACAGACCUUCUUCCCAAUGGUGACUCUUACUGGUAACUUGUGCUGGACUUAUCUGCCCCUGUGUUAACUAAGAAUUCAAAAUUUUUAUAGUGGGGACUUACUUUAAAGUUUACUAAGGGCUCUUCUUGAUGGUUGAUUGGAUCUCUUCGCUUAUAGAACCCCUGACACCCCUAGUCAUCUCCCCUUGAAAUCUCUUCUAAGACUUCUUGUUCUUUAUGCAUUGCUUCAUUAAAAUGAAACAUAAGACACAUUUUACUACAGUAAUAGCACCUCCUGUUGCUUUGUGAAGCUUCAGGUUUCUUAAAUUCAUUGAAGUUCUUAUUUGUCUCAUAUGAUGGUGCUGGUUGGUCUCUAUUUUUUUGUAAUAGCCCUGGUCUAUUCUAAUUGACUUAAAUGGCGGUGCUGGUGACUUGCCUGCUCUUAUACUUUCUUGAGCAACUGCAACUAUAAGUAAUCUUAGGGCUUCUAGGUGUUGGUUUAGCUGAUUAUACAUCUACUGAUCUUGGGUUCCAUACCAUGACCCUGUAAUUUUAACUCUGGCCAUACUUCCGUACUCUUGUCUAAACCCUUUGUGAUCUCCCAAGAAUCUUAUUGGUCUAACAAUUGCCCUAAGGGCCUGUUAGGGGGAAUUCUCUUUGCUUUUUUCUUUUGAAGGAUCCGCUCCUUUGCUAUAAAGGAUGCUGUUUAGGGUUUUUUAACGUAUUUUCUCAUAGUAUUUUUCCAGUAGAACCUCAAAGUGUAUUUCUGUCAUGAAUAUUUGACUUGAAAUAUUCAUGUGUUAGGUGUGUGUAAGGUAUGGCCUCAUCAUUUUCUUGGUUUGUGUGGUACACGGCCUUUCUUCGUUACUGGGUAUCUGCCCAUUUUAAAAAGUGGCUAGUAACUGGAGCAGGGAAGAUACCUCUGAAGGUAUGGAUGGUCAUUAUCUGAAACAACCAACCUCUUUUUAAAGAAAAGUAAACCAAAAUGUCACAGUAGAAGCCAACAUAAGACCUAAAUUCACUUUUGGGUGCUCUUGCCAUUGAGACUGCAGAAAGCCUCUGUUGUCAAAAUAAACCAAAACCAUAAAAAGCUAAAACCUGUUCUGAAUGAAGAAGAAACAAAAGAAUUCCAUAGAAGAUAUGGCUGAUGAAUUUAUCUAUAUUGCAUAUUAGUGGGCAAUCUCCUAAUUUUAUGACUGAGAGGUAUCAAGGGAGUUGAUUUUAUACAUGCAUCUAUAUAUAUGUGCAGGAACAAGAAGUCAUCAAGAAAACUGAGUGUAAAGAAUAAGAAAAUUGAAUUGUACAUUGUAAAGCUUUUCUCUCUGACAGACUGUGUUAUUUAUUAAAAGUUAUCCUGAUUGUUUAUUUUCUCCCAAUUCUGAAAAGCUGAAUAGAAACCUGCAAAAACAGUUUUUACUUUUCACUGAUUCUAGUACAGACUGGAGAGUUAAGACUAAGCUUAAAUUGGUAACAUUGCUUUUUUCUAUUUUGCAUGUGUGCAUUUUUAUCUGGAUAAAAUUGCUUUCUAAAGCUUUCUAAAGAUGUAAAAUAGUUUAAUUUUUAAUUCCCUUUGUUGGCAACUUUCUUUUAAGUAAAUGAGUUGACUGAAUAACAAGGUGAUAAUUCUCUGAAAUACUUAGCUAAAAUUGUUGGUGCCAGCUGUGUUGAGUCUGUUUGAAAA